rnacentral:lncRNA from 1 species
GCUAAAAUAAGACUGGAACCCAGAUCACAAUAUUUGUAACCUAGUCCUUGGCAUCUUUUCUUUUCCUUUUGGAUCUGUGGGGUCCUGAAAAUAGAAGUGGCAUGGUAGGGGUUUCCCUUGACUAUCAGCCCAGCAGCUCCAAACCCAACCAGUCCCCACCUGCCCUCACUAGCACAGGUGUGUCAAGCCUCCGCCCUUCCUCCCGCCUUGAUGACAGAUAAAUCUUGUUUAGCUGAUGAGAUGUCCUGCACUGAGGCAGAGCACACCAGACAGUCCAUCCACAGCCACAAUCUACAAAGCCGCUUCCCGAAUUUCUAUCCCCCACCCCCCCGACCUAGUGCACCGUGGGAUGCCGAGGGCCUGUGGGCCGGAGGGGACUCUGCCAGGCAAGCCCUGGGGGAGGUCUCUGAAUGCCCGGACACCUUCAGGGCUGCUCAGGCGACCCUGCCUUCAGCCCACCCCGGGCCUGCCUCACCCACAGGGAGCGCCCAGGUGAAGAAGUUGCUUCGGUCCACGUCGAAGGCCACCAUGACCACCGCGGGACCGGGAGCGGAGGAAAGGACCUCACGUGGCCCAGGGUGAGCCCCAUCCGGGCCAGGAGCAGGAGCAGAAAUAAUACAUCUGACAUUUUCCCACAUCCGUAUGGGAUAUGGAUGAUCACACUGUUGUCCUCAUCGUUAUCUUCCAUGCCUUCACUGUUUCCCUGUUGUGUUUAUGAGCAUAUGGACUUAUCUGUUGAUGGACCACUAGCUGUUGUUUGUAAGUUUUAUUUGGUUUUGCUUUUGUAUCUUUGCUUAUGUAUCCCAUAAUCUCCUCAGGACAAAUUAAUGGAAGCAGAAUUGUUGGGACAAAGAGAAUGCAGUUACUGUUAUUGAUGGCACAUAUGAAUUCACUCAUUUAAAUAGGCUUUUUUGUUGUGAGGAAAAGAAAAGUUUAUUCCAAUAAACAAGGACUAAAAUCAGGGAGAUUCUAGCAGCUAGCUGGGAAAAGUUGAGUUUAUUACAUCAAAUAGCAGCAGCAAGCUGGGAGAGAUUUUUUCCUUGAGUGGAUGGGCUAACACUAGGAGAGAGAUAUUAGCAGCUAACUGGGAAAGGAAUUAGGCUUAUAUAGGUAUUGAAGGGGCUCAGGAAUCUGGGGUAAAAUGUUCAUGAUGGGGUCAAUGACAGUCUG